ensembl:lncRNA
GUAGUUUUGCUGCAGAUGUGUAUGUCAAGGUUUUUUGAGCCUUUGUGGUAGAAUAGCCUGAUGCUACCUAAAAUAUAUUAAAAUGAUUGUGCAAAGCAGACCAGGUCAGGCUUCAAACCCCAUUAUUCACCUGCAGUUGUAGGGUUAAGUCAAGUCCUGGAUUUGCACAGGUGGAACCACCCAUGGCACAAGAAUAGGGGCAGGCCAGCCUGGUCUGAGGCUUGCCAAAUGAAAGCUCCUUUCCUCAACACUGCUGCUGAGAAAGAGAAAUUUCAUUUCCACUAGUGUUGUUAACGAAGAAACCAGUCAGCUUAUCAAGUAUUUCAGAUGGCAUAGGGAAAUGAUAGUCACUCGCAAGUUUCUGGUCUACCUAAAAUGAGGGAUCUGUCUAGUGGCAUCCUAGACCUUAUUUCUAGUGUUCAGUGGUUGGGAGGAAAUUGUUGCUUUUCAUGGUUCUUAGGAUGGGGUGAAAAGAGGUGACCAGGGUCUCUUGAGUAAUAGCCAUGGUGACACCUCAUAGAUCCAGUUCAUUCCCAGUAUUGCACCAAAGCUCUGUUUUCCUGGAGGGUUUCUCUGGACAUGCUGUACUUAGGCUACAUGUUCUCCACGUAGUGAAGUUUUUGACCACUAUGUACAGCUGUGGUCCCUACUUUCACCUACGACAGACACUAGUCCACACUAGCAUGAAGCCCCCAGACAUUGUUCGCUAUUGUGCUACACGUGCUGUCUUCAGAUUCAGCCUAAACCCACCAGAGGCUGAGUAAUGCUGAGUGUCCUCAGUUUACCAGGGGAUUUGCUGUUUUUUGACUGCAUGCUCAGCAUCAUUUCCAUCAGAAAUGAAAUACUGAGGAGAAAUACAGGUGCUGUAAUCUGCAUAAGCUCUGUUCGCUGGUUCUCAUGGAUACUUACCACUUUACGUAGCUGCAUGUCUGCAGUUCAGCAACUCCAGCAUUACCAGCUCCAGUGUAAAUAGCCGGCAAGGCAGGGGUGGAGGUUGACAGUGCAUCUGCUGCCAGCUUCACUGCCAAAAUAAUUGCAUACCAUGAUUUAUACAUUGUACUACAGCUUGGCCAUCUCCUGUGUUGUAAAUUACACAUACAAGAUAAGUGAAAUAUAGAUGGAACUGAAGUCCUAAUACAACAAAACUAAAUAUAAAUAUACAUAACCGUAUCUACACUGAGGUCAUACUCAGUAUAGCUGUUAAGGCCCAGAAAUUAAUUUUGGCUGAGCUUUUACAAACCUUGUGUUAUCUCAGCUCAGCUGUGUUACUUUCUUAGCUUAAAGAGUUGAAGGUAAACUGAACCAAUGAGCCACUUAAAUAGUUAAUAUGAAUGUCCCCAGUCUGCAAGUCAGUAUUGCCAGUGAGAGUUUACAGUUUCAGAAGAUGCAAAUAUAGCAGCAGUUGCCAUGUAUAAAGACCAGAACAUGCUUUAAACUUCCUUUUCCAGUUCAUUUAAGAGAGGAAUCAUCAGGCUUUGCAAUAAACAAGACAUAGCUGAAUUUUUUCCUGAUAAUCUCAUGUGCUUGUCACAAGGGCUCUAAUGCUAUUUCUGUGCCUGGGGCAUCUGCAAUUUAGAAUGGGUUGAGUGGACUUCAGUGUAUCAGAAAGGUUUAAAAGCAGCAACAGAGUUAGCACUAUGCAAUUGCUAGCUGAGUUCAGUGACAGCUUUGUGACUACUGAAACAUAUGUAUUUCCACAGGGAGACUGACCCAAAGUAGAUCGGACAGUUUUCUAUUACAUGUAUCACAUCUGCAAAACCAGAGCAGUACUUGCAAAUCAGAUGCUGUUCAGCGGACCAUAUCUUGCAUGCCUCAAAGCCAUGAGUACAGUUCCCUUUUGUACCUGUCUGACUUCACCUUCCUCAGGAGGUGGAGGAAGAGAGGACGCUUGCUAACCUAUGCCCUGGGCUGUCUUCUGCCUGGCACAGUGAUGGCUGCUCAUGCCAGAAACCCCCUUGCACCAGCCAACCUCCAUCUGCAGCUGAGGUAAGCCAUCAUCCUGGUCCCCCAGUUUGAGGGUGAACAGGAGCCCUGGGACAGGCAGGCAAGCAGCUGGGACAGGCCACUGGGGAGGGAGCAAGUGCUUGAAGCUGUGGGAAGGGGCUCAAUACCACCGCAGUGUGUACGACCAGGUCUGAGAGCAUCUAGUAACCUUAUCUUGGCAAGGCCGGGUGUUACCAUAAGUAGGGCCCAUCUGUGCAAGGCUUCAGGCAGCAUUUAUUUGAGUUGCAAGGGAAUAAAUAUGUAAUUUUCCUCUCGUGAAUAAUGGAUAAUGACCUUCUGUGCUGCACUGGAAGCCAGUGACACUUACAGGAGGAAGAGUUACACAUUUACUUGCCUGAUCAGCGUGUGUUUGAUGUCUGCCAUGGAUUUGAAUUGGGAAGCUGCUUUUUGAAUUAAAAGUGAAAGCUUUUACC